GAGCGAUUAGUAUAGGUAAGUACGUUGGCUUGUCAUGCUAAAGGCACGCACAUUUAUGGCGUAUCGCUCU